rnacentral:rRNA from 1 species
AGAGUUUGAUCCUGGCUCAGGAUGAACGCUGGCGGCGUGCCUAACACAUGCAAGUCGAACGGAGCCUAAUCAGCAGAAGCGGACAGCUUGCUGGAAGCAGAAGCAGAAAAGGCUUAGUGGCGGACGGGUGAGUAACGCGUGGGUAACCUGGCCCAUACAGGGGGAUAACACUUAGAAAUAGGUGCUAAUACCGCAUAACAACAGAAAGCGCAUGCUUUGUGUUUGAAAACUGAGGUGGUAUGGGAUGGACCCGCGUCUGAUUAGCUGGUUGGCGGGGUAAUGGCCCACCAAGGCGACGAUCAGUAGCCGGCCUGAGAGGGUGGACGGCCACAUUGGGACUGAGACACGGCCCAAACUCCUACGGGAGGCAGCAGUGGGGAAUAUUGCACAAUGGGGGAAACCCUGAUGCAGCGACGCCGCGUGAGUGAAGAAGUAAUUCGUUAUGUAAAGCUCUAUCAGCAGGGAAGAAAAUGACGGUACCUGAUUAAGAAGCCCCGGCUAACUACGUGCCAGCAGCCGCGGUAAUACGUAGGGGGCAAGCGUUAUCCGGAUUUACUGGGUGUAAAGGGAGCGUAGACGGCAGUGCAAGUCUGGAGUGAAAGGCGGGGGCUCAACCCCCGGACUGCUCUGGAAACUGUACAGCUGGAGUGCAGGAGAGGUAAGUGGAAUUCCUAGUGUAGCGGUGAAAUGCGUAGAUAUUAAGAGGAACACCAGUGGCGAAGGCGGCUUACUGGACUGUAACUGACGUUGAGGCUCGAAAGCGU